CAUUGGAUCCAGACUUUGAUUCUGGCUCAUGAUGAACGCUAGCUACAGGCUUAACACAUGCAAGUCGAGGGGAAACGAUAGAGAAAGCUUGCUUCUUCUAGGCGUCGACCGGCGCACGGGUGAGUAACGCGUAUCCAACCUGCCCACCACUUGGGAAUAACCUUGCGAAAGUAAGACUAAUACCCAAUGAUAUCUCUAGAAGACAUCUGAAGGAGAUUAAAGAUUUAUCGGUGAUGGAUGGGGAUGCGUCUGAUUAGCUUGUUGGCGGGGUAACGGCCCACCAAGGCGACGAUCAGUAGGGGUUCUGAGAGGAAGGUCCCCCACAUUGGAACUGAGACACGGUCCAAACUCCCACGGGAGGCAGCAGUGAGGAAUAUUGGUCAAUGGGCGAGAGCCUGAACCAGCCAAGUAGCGUGCAGGAUGACGGCCCUAUGGGUUGUAAACUGCUUUUAUAAGGGAAUAAAGUGAGCCUCGUGAGGCUUUUUGCAUGUACCUUAUGAAUAAGGACCGGCUAAUUCCGUGCCAGCAGCCGCGGUAAUACGGAAGGUCCGGGCGUUAUCCGGAUUUAUUGGGUUUAAAGGGAGCGUAGGCCGGAGAUUAAGCGUGUUGUGAAAUGUAGAUGCUCAACAUCUGCACUGCAGCGCGAACUGGUUUCCUUGAGUACGCACAAAGUGGGCGGAAUUCGUGGUGUAGCGGUGAAAUGCUUAGAUAUCACGAAGAACUCCGAUUGCGAAGGCAGCUCACUGGAGCGCAACUGACGCUGAAGCUCGAAAGUGCGGGUAUCGAACAGGAUUAGAUACCCUGGUAGUCCGCACGGUAAACGAUGGAUGCCCGCUGUUGGUCUGAAUAGGUCAGCGGCCAAGCGAAAGCAUUAAGCAUCCCACCUGGGGAGUACGCCGGCAACGGUGCAACUCAAAUGAAUUGACGGA
rnacentral:rRNA from 2 species